GACGAACGCUGGCGGCGUGCUUAACACAUGCCAGUCGAACGGAAAGGCCCUGCUUUUGUGGGGUGCUCGAGUGGCGAACGGGUGAGUAACACGUGAGUAACCUGCCCUUGACUUUGGGAUAACUUCAGGAAACUGGGGCUAAUACCGGAUAGGAGCUCCUGCUGCAUGGUGGGGGUUGGAAAGUUUCGGCGGUUGGGGAUGGACUCGCGGCUUAUCAGCUUGUUGGUGGGGUAGUGGCUUACCAAGGCUUUGACGGGUAGCCGGCCUGAGAGGGUGACCGGCAACAUUGGGACUGAGAUACGGCCCAGACUCCUACGGGAGGCAGCAGUGGGGAAUAUUGCACAAUGGGCGGAAGCCUGAUGCAGCAACGCCGCGUGCGGGAUGACGGCCUUCGGGUUGUAAACCGCUUUCGCCUGUGACGAAGCGUGAGUGACGGUAAUGGGUAAAGAAGCACCGGCUAACUACGUG
rnacentral:rRNA from 1 species